rnacentral:pre_miRNA from 1 species
AGUGGAGAUGUUGAAAUUCAAAAAAAUAAUUUCGUUUAUUUUGAGAUUCAACUCCUCCUACUAA